UACGUAGGGUGCAAGCGUUAUCCGGAAUUAUUGGGCGUAAAGAGCUCGUAGGCGAUUUGUCGCGUCUGCUGUGAAAACUGGAGGCUCAACCUCCAGCCUGCAGUGGGUACGGGCAAACUAGAGUGCGGUAGGGGAGAUUGGAAUUCCUGGUGUAGCGGUGGAAUGCGCAGAUAUCGGGAGGAACACCGGUGGCGAAGGCGGUUCUCUGGGCCUUACCUGACGCUGAGGAGCGAAAGCGUGGGGAGCGAACAGG
rnacentral:rRNA from 1 species